CCUACGGGGGGCUGCAGUAACGAAUCUUCCGCAAUGCACGCAAGUGUGACGGAGCGACGCCGCGUGGAGGACGAAGUUCUUCGGAAUGUAAACUCCUGUCAGGCAGAGUUGGCGCCCCAGAGGAAGGCACGGCUAACUCUGUGCCAGCAGCCGCGGUAAGACAGAGGUGCCGAGCGUUAGGCGGAAUCACUGGGCUUAAAGCGUGUGUAGGCGGGCGGACAAGUACCUUGUGAAAUCCCACGGCUCAACCGUGGAACGGCUGGGUAUACUGUUCGCCUUGAGCCAACUAGGGGCGAGCGGAACAAGUGGUGGAGCGGUGAAAUGCGUAGAUAUCACUUGGAACGCCAAAGGUGAAAACAGCUCGCUGGGUGUGCUGACGCUGAGACACGAAAGCCAGGGGAGCGAACGGGAUUAGAUACCCUUGUAGUC
rnacentral:rRNA from 1 species